rnacentral:lncRNA from 10 species
AUGGCGUGAAUGGCAUUGCCUAAGGAAAGAUUUAAAAAGAAAGAAAUGGUCAACACCACAAAAGCUGCUGUAUGUCAAGACGAGGUCAAGAAAACAUCUAUUAGAAUACGUAUUGAUGUAGAUGCCAUUUUUUAUUUCAGUGAGCACUAUCUUGGUAGAGUGAAGACACUGAACUCCCAAUAGAGUGUGGGGGAGUUGAUUCUUCACAAUGAUCGGUGAGAAUCAGAAGCAGCGGGUCUGAACAGCCCUUUGAGAAGCUUGACAGAGAAGAGGAGGAGAACAUGGCUGAAGAAGACCCAAAGAGAGAUCCUAAUUCCUUUCCAUAAAUUGCCCAUUACUAAGAUGAUAGAACAAUUACAAGAAAGGUUGUUCUGCAAGAUGUGGGCUACCCUGUGGAGUGUAUGACAUGCCCUUCAAGUUGACUUUGAAAGGUAAUUAAUUAUGGUAGUGUCUGUUCAGUUUCAAAAGUUCAAAUUAAAUAUCCUUCAAAACUCGUAUCAAAGGGAAUAUAUUUUACACACCUGUCAUUUGUGAGAAAGGCUGAUUUGAGUCAAAAUUAGGAAGGAGGUAAAGCUCAUCAUUAGAAUGCUGGC